GAUGAACGCUAGCGAUAGGCUUAACACAUGCAAGUCGAGGGGCAGCAUGGUCUUAGCUUGCUAAGACUGAUGGCGACCGGCGCACGGGUGCGUAACGCGUAUGCAACUUGCCUCACAGAGGGGGAUAACCCGUCGAAAGACGGACUAAUACCGCGUACACUCCAUCUUGGGCAUCCAAGGUAGAGGAAAUGAAAUUCGCUGUGAGAUAGGCAUGCGUCCCAUUAGCUAGUUGGUGAGGUAACGGCUCACCAAGGCGACGAUGGGUAGGGGAACUGAGAGGUUGGACCCCCACACUGGUACUGAGACACGGACCAGACUCCUACGGGAGGCAGCAGUGAGGAAUAUUGGUCAAUGGGCGAGAGCCUGAACCAGCCAAGUCCCGUGAAGGAUGACUGUCUUAUGGAUUGUAAACUUCUUUUAUACGGGAAUAACAAGAGUCACGUGUGACUCCCUGCAUGUACCGUAUGAAUAAGCAUCGGCUAACUCCGUG
rnacentral:rRNA from 1 species